rnacentral:rRNA from 1 species
ACAGUGUGAAAAACUCCGGUGGUAUGAGAUGGACCCGCGUCUGAUUAGCUAGUUGGUGGGGUAACGGCCUACCAAGGCGACGAUCAGUAGCCGGCCUGAGAGGGUGAACGGCCACAUUGGGACUGAGACACGGCCCAAACUCCUACGGGAGGCAGCAUG